CUGGAGUUGUCUUGGCCUUUUGGAUCUUCUGUUCAUCUAGGAGCAUCUGUCCCACAACCUGAAACAGUUCAUAUAAAUACUAUAGAUUAGGAAGUCCAGAACAUCCUAGAGUUUGAAGGUGGUGUUUGCUCGACAUUCAGAAUCGGGUACUUUGCUAGAUUACAAUGGUAUCAAAGCAGCGAGUGGCUGUUCUACUCUGCACAUCUAUGAAGCUGGUUGUGGAGGGUGCUUCCAACAUAACUUCAGGAACAGUGUACAGAAAAAUUGGAACUUGUAUGCUACAGAAAGUAGCACAGGGGCUGGCCAGCUGAGCAGACAGCACACUGGAGAUGUGAUCCUGUGGUCCCAGGUUGAAUCCUGGCAAGAAAUGGUGGGCCGAGUUUUUCACCCUAUGCCCCUAAUAACAAUUGGGAAGUCCAGCUGUUCAUCCUAGAGUUUGAAGGUGUUGAUUGCUUGACAUUCAGAAUGGGGUGGUAAUGGAGAUUAUGAUAUCAAGGAAUUGACUGGCUUAAGAAGUGUAGCUGUUCUACUCUGCACAUCCAAUAAACUGGUGGUUGUUGUCCUUGGUACUCUGGAUGUUUUCCUGGCCUUUGAAGUUGUUUGGAGUCUUCAGUUGAAACCUCAACCUGAAACAAAUUUGUCAACAUUAGUUAUAUUGUAUACUAUUUAAUAAAUCUUUUAAUGAAAA